rnacentral:rRNA from 1 species
UACGAAGGGGGCUAGCGUUGUUCGGAAUUACUGGGCGUAAAGCGCGCGCAGGCGGUCUUCCAAGUCAGUGGUGAAAGCCCGGAGCUCAACUCCGGAACUGCCAUUGAAACUGUAAGACUUGAGGACGAGAGAGGUGAGUGGAAUUCCCAGUGUAGAGGUGAAAUUCGUAGAUAUUCGGAAGAACACCAGUGGCGAAGGCGGCUCACUGGCUCGUACUGGACGCUGAGGUGCGAAAGCGUGGGGAGCAAACAGG